rfam:Angiostrongylus cantonensis strain Taiwan genome assembly, scaffold: ACAC_scaffold0000658
ACAUUGGUGGUUCAGUGGUAGAAUGGUCGCCUGCCUCGCGAGCGACCCGGGUUCGAUUCCCGGCCAAUGCA